AAUAGAUACCCCGGGUAGUCCACGCCGUAAACGAUGAGUGCUAAGUGUUAGAGGGUUUCCGCCCUUUAGUGCUGCAGCUAACGCAUUAAGCACUCCGCCUGGGGAGUACGGUCGCAAGACUGAAACUCAAAGGAAUUGACGGGGGCCCGCACAAGCGGUGGAGCAUGUGGUUUAAUUCGAAGCAACGCGAAGAACCUUACCAGGUCUUGACAUCCUCUGACAACUCUAGAGAUAGAGCGUUCCCCUUCGGGGGACAGAGUGACAGGUGGUGCAUGGUUGUCGUCAGCUCGUGUCGUGAGAUGUUGGGUUAAGUCCCGCAACGAGCGCAACCCUUGAUCUUAGUUGCCAGCAUUUAGUUGGGUCACUCUAGGGUGACUGCCGGUGACAAACCGGAGGAAGGUGGGGAUGACGUCAAAUCAUCAUGCCCCUUAUGACCUGGGCUACACACGUGCUACAAUGGAUGGUACAAAGGGCUGCAAGACCGCGAGGUCAAGCCAAUCCCAUAAACCAUUCUCAGUUCGGA
rnacentral:rRNA from 1 species